rnacentral:rRNA from 1 species
UACGAAGGGGGCUAGCGUUGUUCGGAAUUACUGGGCGUAAAGCGCGCGUAGGCGGUGAUCUUUGUCAGAGGUGAGAUCCCGAGGCUCAACUUCGGAAUUGCCUUUGAAACGGGAUCGCUUGAGUCCGAGAGAGGAUGGCGGAAUUCCUAGUGUAGAGGUGAAAUUCGUAGAUAUUAGGAAGAACACCGGUGGCGAAGGCGGCCAUCUGGCUCGGUACUGACGCUCAGGCGCGAAAGCGUGGGGAGCAAACAGG